AUUGAACGCUGGCGGCAUGCUUUACACAUGCAAGUCGAACGGUAACAGGGUGCUUGCACCGCUGACGAGUGGCGAACGGGUGAGUAAUGCGUCGGAACGCGCCGAGUAGUGGGGGAUAACGCAUCGAAAGGUGUGCUAAUACCGCAUACGUACUGAGGUAGAAAGUGGGGGACCUUCGGGCCUCACGCUAUUCGAGCGGCCGACGUCUGAUUAGCUAGUUGGUGAGGUAAAGGCUCACCAAGGCGACGAUCAGUAGCGGGUCUGAGAGGAUGAGCCGCCACACUGGGACUGAGACACGGCCCAGACUCCUACGGGAGGCAGCAGUGGGGAAUUUUGGACAAUGGGCGCAAGCCUGAUCCAGCCAUGCCGCGUGUCUGAAGAAGGCCUUCGGGUUGUAAAGGACUUUUGUCCGGGAGCAAAUACCCAGUGCUAAUAACGCUGGGGGCUGAGAGUACCGGAAGAAUAAGCACCGGCUAACUACGUGCCAGCAGCCGCCGUAAUAC
rnacentral:rRNA from 1 species